rnacentral:rRNA from 1 species
GGAGGAAAGCAGGGGAUCGCAAGACCUUGCGCUCAUUGAGCGGCCGAUGCCUGAUUAGCUAGUUGGUGAGGUAAAGGCUUACCAAGGCGACGAUCAGUAGCUGGUCUGAGAGGACGACCAGCCACACUGGGACUGAGACACGGCCCAGACUCCUACGGGAGGCAGCAGUGGGGAAUUCUGGACAAUGGGGGAAACCCUGAUCCAGCCAUGCCGCGUGAGUGAAGAAGGCCUUCGGGUUGUAAAGCUCUUUCAGCCGGAACGAAACAGUCACGGAUAAUACCCGUGACUACUGACGGUACCGGAAGAAGAAGCACCGGCUAACUACGUGCCAGCAGCCGCGGUAAUACGUAGGGUGCGAGCGUUAAUCGGAAUUACUGGGCGUAAAGCGUGCGCAGGCGGUUUUGUAAGUCAGAAGGGAAAUCCCCGGGCUUAACCUGGGAACUGCGUUGUUAAAAGGAAGCUAGAAGGGC